rnacentral:rRNA from 1 species
UACAGAGGAUGCAAGCGUUAUCCGGAAUGAUUGGGCGUAAAGCGUCUGUAGGUGGCUUUUUAAGUCCGCCGUCAAAUCCCAGGGCUCAACUCUGGACAGGCGGUGGAAACUACCAAGCUGGAGUACGGUAGGGGCAGAGGGAAUUUCCGGUGGAGCGGUGAAAUGCGUAGAGAUCGGAAAGAACACCAAGCGGCAGAAGCACUCUGCUGGGCCGACACUGACACUGAGAGACGAAAGCUAGGGGAGCGAAUGGG